GCAUCAGGAAGAAGCUUGCUUUCUUUGCUGGCGACCGGCGCACGGGUGAGUAACACGUAUCCAACCUGCCCUUUACUCGGGGAUAGCCUUUCGAAAGAAAGAUUAAUACCCGAUAGCAUAAUGAUUCCGCAUGGUUUCAUUAUUAAAGGAUUCCGGUAAAGGAUGGGGAUGCGUUCCAUUAGGUUGUUGGUGAGGUAACGGCUCACCAAGCCUUCGAUGGAUAGGGGUUCUGAGAGGAAGGUCCCCCACAUUGGAACUGAGACACGGUCCAAACUCCUACGGGAGGCAGCAGUGAGGAAUAUUGGUCAAUGGGCGCUAGCCUGAACCAGCCAAGUAGCGUGAAGGAUGAAGGCUCUAUGGGUCGUAAACUUCUUUUAUAUAAGAAUAAAGUGCAGUAUGUAUACUGUUUUGUAUGUAUUAUAUGAAUAAGGAUCGGCUAACUCCGUGCCAGCAGCCGCGGUAAUACGGAGGAUCCGAGCGUUAUCCGGAUUUAUUGGGUUUAAAGGGAGCGUAGGUGGACUGGUAAGUCAGUUGUGAAAGUUUGCGGCUCAACCGUAAAAUUGCAGUUGAUACUGUCAGUCUUGAGUACAGUAGAGGUGGGCGGAAUUCGUGGUGUAGCGGUGAAAUGCUUAGAUAUCACGAAGAACUCCGAUUGCGAAGGCAGCUCACUGGACUGCAACUGACACUGAUGCUCGAAAGUGUGGGUAUCAAACAGGAUUAGAUACCCUGGUAGUCCACACAGUAAACGAUGAAUACUCGCUGUUUGCGAUAUACAGUAAGCGGCCAAGCGAAAGCA
rnacentral:rRNA from 1 species